UAUAUAUAUAUAUAUAUAUUAUUUUUGUUUAAAAUGUCAAAAAUUAUAUUUAUGUAGUUAAUAUUAAAAAAAAACCAACUGGGAUCCUCUUUUUCUUUCUCCUGGAGCCUAAUCUGCGCCCCAACCCCAUAUUCUUUUCAGCGAUCCCCAAAUCUUUUUAGCCUCCCCUUCUUCUUCUUGCUCCCUUCUGAUUCUUCUUCUUAUUUUCUUCUGAUCCUUCUUCUACAUCUGCCAAUUGUUUUUUCUUUCUCAUGAAGGCCGCACCGCACCGCACCCCAUUCCCCAAUUCUUUUCAGCUUCUCCAUCUUCUUUUUUUUUUCCAUCUUUUUCUUCUUUCCUUCUGAUUUUUCUCCUCCUGAUUUUUCUUCUCCUUUGAUAUUGGCCAUUGCCCACAGAGACACACAGAAGCAGAGAAAGAGGUGGAAGGGAGACGAGAUAAGGGUAUUUUGGGUAGAAAAAUGGGAUUCCAGAUAGAGCAUUUCAUCCGGAAUUCAAAUCCCACCUAUUAUUUGGGAGACCGGUUCCGGAUAAAUGGAGAGUCUGAUUCCCCAUAUUAGAUGGGUCCCACAUACACUUCAUUCCCUCAAAUGUUGGUAAACACUUGAAUAACCGGAAAGGAGUGCAAUUCUCAUUCCUCUUGUCUCACUCUCCUUACGUAAAUGCACCGUAAAUUGAUAUUGCAUUUGAAACACCUCAACUCUAUUUUAUUUAAAAAUUGUUUUAAAACCUUAAUUGGUGAGCCCGUGGGACCCACCUUGUUUUAUUUUUAUGUUUUCUAGUCUCUCCUCUCUCAGUUCUCUCUUCUCCCUCACCUCUUCUGCAACUCUCUCCCAUAUCUCUCUCGGACCUCAUCUCUCUCCCUUGCUGCAACUCCUUUUCUCUGAGCAGCACUCAACCACGCCAUCUGCUGAGGACAUCAUCAUCAAAACCUCUGCAGUUUUCUCUCUCCCGUUGUAGAAAGGACGACGAAAUCCCAGGAGCAUCCGGCGAGCACCGCCCCUUUCGAGGAAAUUUCCGGCCAAACCACGGUGCAUUAGCCAGCGUGCAAGGUAUCAAUCUCUUCGUCUCGUCGAGUAGUAUAACUUUUCUUUUUGUUUCACUCUAUUUCGUUGAGUAUUGAAGAAGUUAUACUCAUUUGAAUCUUACCCAGUUUCCGGCGACCUCCGAGGCUUUCGAGGAAUUUUCCGGCCAAACCACGGCAAGUUAGACGUCGUGUGAUGUACCAUUCUCUUCGUCUCUUCAAGGGCUACAACUUUCGUUUUUGAAUCGCUUGAUUUCGUUGAGUAGUAACAAAGUUAUGGCUGUUUAAAGAUUGUGCAUUUUCUGGCCGAAUUUCCGACCUUCUUCUUCCUUUGAAUCCGGUAGCCCAGAAAAACCAAGCCCUUUAGGCCUUCCUUGCCGAGCCCAACCCUUUCGGUUGUGAGGCCUUUGGGCCUUUGUGUGUGUGUGUGUGUUUUGUGAGGGCUUGCCUUGUGCAGCCCGCGUGUGUGUAUGUAUAUUCAGUAUGUGUGUGUGUGUAUGAGUGCAUGUGUGUGGGGUGUGUGUGUUUAUGCAUGUCGUGCAUGCAUGUGCAUGUUGUGCAUGUGUGUAUGUUUGUGUAGUGUGUGUGUUGUAUGCAUGUGCCGUGUGUGUGUGUGUGAUUUGUGUGGGUUUGGGCUCAAGCCCAAUCCAUCUCUUUUGCUCCUAAACUAUCCAAAACCCAAAAACCUUAGGACCCUAAACCCAAAACCCAAUAGGUCCUAACCCUAUUUAACCUAAAUCUAAACCCUAAUCCGGAUUCAAGCCUAAAACCCGUUAGACCUAAUUUGACCGUUGACCCCCGGUCAACGUUGACUUUAGGGUUGACUUUUUGGGUUUUCGUCUGGAACCUUUCUUAGGGUAAUUCGACAUUCUGAACCCAUUUCCAAUGUCCGUUUUCCCAAAUUCAAUUGCUAUUAUAUAGUUUUAUUAAUUGUACCAUUUAAUGUGCUUAGGGGCAAUUAUUGUGACGUUUCCGUCUUCGCUAAUGGCACAGCUUUUGGCAACUAAGUACUGUGAGUGGACCACUUCUAAAAUUAUAUGAUUUUAUAGUUUAAUUGCAUAAAUGAUUAGCAUGCCUACGAAUUUAUGAUUUGAUUUAUGUUCAGCCUGUUUACUGUAUAUUUUGAUUUUCGUCUUGUGUUUUUGGUGAGGAAUUCAUUGUUGGCCUAUUUUGAGCUAUAUUUUAAUAUAUCGUAUUUUCUAUAAAAACCAUGAACUGUUAGACUAUCCGAUGAAUGACGAUAAGAUGAUAAAACAUGUUUUCGAAACCCCUCUUUAUAGUAUAGACGAUGGAUGACUUUAUACUAUGAAAUAGUUAUUUAUGAGAGGCGUAACUAUUUGUGCGUACCUAGUAGACACUAUGCCGUCUAGGGCGAGGAUCUGGUGUUGGCAAUUAGGCCGGGAGAAAUAAUCCCUAGCGAAAGGCUGAGGGACACGGUGACAGGCACUGGGCCGGGAGGGAGUUAUCUCUGGCUACGAGCACAGAGACUUAGGUGCAGGCAUUGGGCCGGGAGUUAUAUUUAUUCGAUGAUCUUUCUAACAGCGCACCGCGCUUACGAGACGAUAUAUUAUACGUUUACUGUUUUGAUUUCCGCGAUGUUGUUCUGCGAUAUGACUUUUGAGAUAUUUUUGGCAUACUAGGAUUUUGAUUAAAUCCAUCACUUAUUAUGCUAGUAGUUUUCAUUAUAUAAACUGUGGGGGUUAGUAUCUUGAUAACUGUUUUAUUAUUAUUAUAUAUAUGAACAUAGUCCACUCACCUUUGUUUUGCGCCCCUAUUCAGAACUUAGAAUCAAGGCACCUAAUCCCGGCGGCAAGGCACUUCCGCAGCAGCAUCUCGUCCUUUCGGGGUAGAACCCACUCCUUUGUUCAUUCAAUCUUAUCUUAAUUCUUGUUAGUGACUAGGUUUAGUUGUAUAUUCUGAACACGUUCCUAAUUUAUUAAUUCAUCAUAUUUUAAAUUCAUAACCCUUAUUUAUUUCUUAUUCUUAGCUUUUGUAUCAAUUAAUGGCUUUCGUCACCUUCGGGUGUCGACCAGCACGUAUCGGUCCUGGUAUUCGAGAAAUAUCAAGGUCGGAGCGUGUCAGCAUUUAUAUCAUUAUUUGCAUCUAUAAAUAAACCUAGAAGGUUAACGUUUCCACUAAGAAAAUUCUUAUUUGCUGUUCAUAUAGAAUUUGUUAUUCCAUUCAUCACGAAUCUUAUGACAUGACUCCAUGCAAGAAAAGAUGGGUCGAGGGGUACGUUGAAAGAAUAAAGUUAACUUAAUAGUAACAAAAGUGUAAAAUUUUUAAAAUCAAGGACCAAAAUGUUAGUGACCCUUAACUAGAAGUCUAGAAUGGUGCAAAGUGCAAAUAACAUUUAUCAAAAAGUUGUGACAAAGAAGAGGAAGGGAACAUUUGUCCACAACAACAACAACAACAACAAAGCCUUUUCCCACUAAGUGGGGUCGGCUAUAUGAAUCCUAGAACGCCAUUGCGCUCGGUUUUGUGUCAUGCCCUCCGUUAGAUCCAAGUACUCUAAGUCUUUUCUUAGAGUCUCUUCCAAAGUUUUCCUAGGUCUUCCUCUACCCCUUCGGCCCUGAACCUCUGUCCCGUAGUCACAUCUUCGAACCGGAGCGUCAGUCGGCCUUCUUUGCACAUGUCCAAAUCACCAGAGCCGAUUUUCUCUCAUCUUUCCUACAAUUUCGGCUACUCCUACUUUACCUCGGAUAUCCUCAUUCCCAAUCUUAUCCUUUCUCGUGUGCCCACACAUCCCACGAAGCAUCCUCAUCUCCGCUACACCCAUUUUGUGUACGUGUUGAUGCUUCACCACCCAACAUUCUCUGCCAUACAACAUCGCUGGCCUUAUUGCCGUCCUAUAAAAUUUUUCCUUGAGCUUCAGUGGCCUACGACGGUCACACAACACGCCGGAUGCACUCUUUCCAUCCAGCUCGUAUUCUAUGGUUGAGAUCUCCAUCUAAUUCUCCGUUCUCUUGCAAGAUAGAUCAUAGGUAACGAAAACGGUCGCUUUUUGUGAUCUUCGCUAGAUUGCUCCGGUCAUUAGUGUGGAUAAAGUAUAAUAAAUGGAUAAAGAUAGGAAAGCAAACACAAGAUGUACGUGGUUCACCCAGAUUGGCUACGUCCACGGAAUAGAAGAGUUCUCAUUAAUUGUGAAGGGUUUACACAAGUACAUAGGUUCAAGCUCUCCUUUAGUGAGUACGAGUGAAUGAUUUAGUACAAAUGACAUUAGGAAAUAUUGUGGGAGAAUGAUCUCGUAAUCACGAAAACUUCUAAGUAUCGGAGUGUGGUGUCGUCUUGACUUGCCUUAUCUGUCUCAUAGGUAGAUGUGGCAUCUUCUCUGGAAGUACUCUUCCUCCAUCCAGGGAUGGUAUCUUUAACUGGUGGAGAUGCACAAGGUAAUGUAUCAAUUUCACUUGAAGCUUACUUGUAGUUUCAGGCUUGGUCAAGCGCGAUACAAACCAUGUAGUAGGAGUCCCCCAAGUCGCCGAGCUAGGGGGUCUGCUGAAAGAGGUGACAGACAAGGUAAGCAAUCAGAGCUCCGACUGAUUUGUUCACCUUCUCCCCAUCUUGCAGCAGCAGCAUGAAGGAUAAAGAGAAGAAAAAUGAGAAGAGAUGAUAUGAGAUACUUUUGCUUUUGAAGAAGUAACUUUCCACAGGCUUAUUCUUGAACUGAGCUGGAGGGUUUUCUGGUUUCCUCCAGAGUAUAAGGCCGACUGAAGAAUUUGAGGGUCAAAACAAGUCCAUCAAAUCUAGAGUACGUUCCACCCUGCUGAUAUGGGAUACUUUUGCUUUUGACAGAGUAAUGGAUGUAUCGGCACGUGUGCUGUUACGCUUGUCUCCACAUGCUUCCUUGUAUCCUUCGCACUUGCCCUAUCUGUUCCUCAAGCAGAUGCGGAAUCUUCCCUGGAAACAUAAGAUGAUGAAGAUGAGUACUCGAGGAAGGGAACAUUUGUCCAAAAACAUAAAAAAAACAAAAACCAUAAAAACAAAAAAAGAGAAGAGGAAGGGAACAUUGACCAACGUGAAUAGGGAGAGUAUCCAUGUCGACCCUGAGAGUAAACCAUGGCUGCGACCCCGAACAAUUAGAAGCAGUGACCCAGAGUCAGAAUUUUUAUAAGGAGAAAUCUCUCAUAAUAAUAUAUAUAUUUAUAAAAUUAGUAACCAAAAUAUUUUUUGAACAAACGAUAUUAUUUACAUGAAGGAGGAAGAUGGUUAAGCUUAGUCUCAUAAAGAGCUAACAACAAUAUGAUUCAAAUUUGUCUUUUGCGAAAAUCAAUAACUAGAAUCCCCUACAAAUUUUCUAUAUCAUCUAGAUUAAACGUUUGUGUCUUUUCAAAUUUUGAUUAAAGUGCUUUGACUAAUCGUCAGCAUCUUUUGUUAAGUUAAAUUACAUGUCAUUAUUUUAUUUUUGUAAUUAAAAUAACUUAUAAAUUUAUCCAUUUAGUUGCUUGAUGCGUUUUUCCUUAUUCAGUGGACAUAUUUGUUAUUAACUAUGUUUGUACCAUACAUGACCAAUCCCGAAACUACUGAGCACCAGUCAACAUUAUACCGUCAAGGACCUAGAAGAGUUUCCCUCCAACCAAAAGGCCAAUCACAAUGCGACACGUGUCGACAUCGGAAGCCAAUCACAACGCGACAUGUGUUAACAUCAUAAGCUAAUCACAACACGACACGUGACAAUGUCAGAACAAAGCUAGAAACUCUUCUAUAAAAGGAGAUCAUUCUCCCACAAUAUUUCCUAAUGUCAUUUGUACUAAAUCAUUCACUAGUACUCACUAAAGGAGAGCUUGAACAUAUGUACUUGUGUAAACUCUUCACAAUUAAUGAGAACUCCUCUACUCCGUGGACGUAGCCAAUCUGGAUGAACCAUGUACAUCUUGUGUUUGCUUCCUUGUCCCUAUCCAUUUACAUACUUAUCCACACUAGUGACCGGAGUAAUCUAGCGAAUGUCACAAACUUAACAAUUUCUGUUGUACCAAAGUCCGCACUGAUUUUGUGCAUCAACAAACUAUAUUUUUUAUUCUUCCAAAUACGCUUCUUCGAUCACAUUUUUUAUUUUUUUUUUGCAAACAUUUAAUAUUUUUUUUUUCUCAAAUGGUUUGUUUUUAUUGAUUGUUUUCAAAUAGUUGUGAUCCACCAUAACAAGUUAUGUGUAAUUUUUUUAAUUUUUUUUGUGAAAUUAUUUUUCUUUGAUGUUUUAUUACGUAUAGUUGUUGAUAGAACUAUUAUUAGGUACAUUUUACAUAUAUUAUCGAUGGGUAUGUUUAAAUUUGUAAAAUCGUUGAUUGGUACGUUUAUUUGCAAAUUUUGGUACAGUUGAUUAGGUACAUAUUGUUAAUAUUAGUACAUUAUUUUUCAUUUAGGUACGUUCGAUUUCACACACAUUGUUCAUUGGUAAGUUUAUAUUGUUUUCAGUCCUAUUUUCUUUUAAUUUACUAAAAGAAAAACUUAUUUGGGUACGUUUAGUUUUGUGGGAUUUAAAAAUAAUAUUUUAAAUUGUAGAUAAUCAUUGCUAUAUUGUAGCUAGGGGUUAUUGUGAAAAUAAAUUGAAUCCAACCACAUUUUUUUUACACUUAUCUCGAAAGGGAGGAGGGUAAUCAAAUGGCUAGAUAAUAGGAAAUUUGUUAUGAUGUGUUUUUUUGUUGUUAGAUUUUAGGGAGGUACAUGAAAUAAUUAAUUCUAAUAUAUAAAGCACCGAAAUCAAAUCUCUAAAAAGCAUAAAUGUUUAGUUUAAAAAGAUAAAAGUAAGGUGCCUAUAUCAAAAGAUCUCGUACAUUUCAAAUAAUCAUAUUUAUCCUCGACGAGUUUUCAUAUUUGAAAACAUUGCAUGAUAACCUCGUCAUCUAUUCUAUUCUAUUGAAAGAAUUAUCAUCAUCAAUGUGUAGAAUCGAUAAAAUUUUACAAACCCUAACACUCAAGUAGGAGGUAGAAUAGAGUAAAACGACUCAAAAAUUGUAACAAUAAUAGAGAUUUACAAAUCUUAUUGUUGCAUAUUGAAUGGAUUUGUAAUUUUUUUUCCAAAGGAUUUCUAAUUUUGUUCAAUAAGUUGACUCGAUUUGGAAUUUGGAAUGACAAAAAAUAUAAAAUUUUAAGAAUGAAAUAGUGGAUAGCUCUCGAAUUUCUGGGUUGCACCGUGAAAGAUCAGAGAUAAGAAUGUGAGGCAAGAUUUUUUAUUCUUAUAAAUAAAGGUGAAUGAUGGCAUUAAUUUAAUGGUUGAUUUGUGAUAAAGGACCAUAGCAAGACGUAAUGAUUGGAUUUAUUUAAAGUUUAAAACAAUAAGAGGGUUUUAGAAGAAAAGGAAUAGCUAAGUAUCAUACAUAUAUGUAUAUAGAUAUAGAUAUAUUUUUUCAAAGCUCAGGAUAGGCCCAGGACCGCCACGGUCCCUUGGUGCCUCCGCCAGCGAAUAGAAGCCACCACCCUGGGUCUUGGCCACCGGCCAUGUGUACCCGAUCGCGAGCGAGUCGACUCUUCUGGUCCUCCUCAAAGGCCAAUUCCAGGUUCUCGUGGAUUCUCCUCCUACUAACCCCUCUCAACCAACCAAAGAACUCGGGCACCAAAGCCGAGUCCACCCUCUUUCGAGUGAGUUGACUCACCUCCCACCACGAACCAGCCGUCUUUGAACCCCAUGAGUGGUUUGCUAUCGCGGACAACAAUAACAAAAGCUGAUAAAUUCUUGAGUGUUGAUUUGUAAUUGGUAUGAUGAUUUUCGGGGAUUAACAAGGGACAAGAAUUUGGAAUUUUGUAGGAAAGUACAGUGCUAUCUCUGUCUGGAGCAAGCACAGAUAUUUUCAUUGAAAUAUCUACACAUUGGACUUUUCUCUUACAAGCUACUCUAGAGCAAUAUCAGCCCUUGAUUAACAAACAAUAAUCUAAGCAUACACUUGUUCUAUGAGACUAAGCAUGCACUUAACUGUUGGUUCCUUCCUUCUCAACCAUUCGAUCAAAACCAAAUUCUAUUUAAUUCCAACACUCCCCUUUAAAUGAAUUCUGGUUUUGAUCCCAAGCAUUCCUCUGAGAUAGACAAAUCUUUCCUUUGGUAGAGCUUUGGUGAAGAUGUCUGCCAUUUGAUCCUGUGAUUUGCAGUAGAUCAGUUCAAUUGUAUUCUCCUGCAAAGCUUCCCUUAUAAAGUGAAACUUCCUUUUGAUAUGCUUGGUUUUCUGGUGAAACAUAGGAUUUUUGGUCAUUGCUAUUGCUGAUGUGUUGUCACACAUAAGUGGUGUAGCAUCCACUUGCAUUUCAACAAAAUCCUUUAACACAAACCUCAACCAUAUAGCUUGGGAGGUAACCAUUGCAGCACUCACAUACUCUACCUCAGCCGUAGACAGUGCAACACUUUGUUGCUUGACAGAGGCCCAAGAAAAUAUCCCAAAACCAAAUGUAAAUGCAUAUCUUGAAGUACUUCUCAUGUCAUCUUCACUGCCACCCCAAUCACUGUCACAGAAGCCUACCAGAAUUGCUUCUUCUCCCUUUUCAUAUUUGAUUCCAUAGUCCAAGGUCCCUGAGAUAUACCUAAGUACUAUCUUGGCAGUUCCCAUAUGAAUUCUUAUGGGAUUAUGCAUGAACCUUGAUAAGAGACUGGCUGCAUACAUAAUGUAUGGCCUUGUGGCAGUCAAGUAAAGUAAACUUCCAACCAUUUUUCUGUAUAAUCUUUCAUCAGCAGGUUCAGAACCAUCCAUUUUACAAAGUUUCUCAUUUGUGAUCAAUGGUGUUGCCGCAGAUUUGCAUCCUUCCAGAUUGAAUCUUUCAAGCAAUGAUUGUGCAUACUUUUGUUGAUGUAUGAAAAUCCUCGUAACUUCUUGUAUUACUCCAAUUCCCAAGAAGUGAUGCAACAAGCCAAGAUCCGUCAUCUCAUAUUGUCUCAUCAUGUCCCUUCUGAAUUCUUCAAUUAUUUCUUCACAAUUACCAAUAAAGACCACAUCAUCAACAUAUAUAGAUACAAUAAGCAUCUCAGAGUUCUCACCAGUUUUUGUAUACAAUGUAGCUUCACUAGGACUUUUGUUAAAUCCACUCUUGUUGAAAUAAGAGUCUAUCUCACUGUACCAAGCCCUGGGGGCUUGUUUGAGUCCAUACAGUGCUUUGUUUAACCUAUACACCAUCUCUUCUUCAUUUGGAACUUCAAAUCCCUGUGGUUGAUCCACAUACACUUCUUCCUCCAGAGUGCCAUUUAGAAAAGGCUGAUUUAACAUCUAACUGGUGAAGUUUCCAUCCCUUUUGGGCAACAAGAGCAAUCAAGGUUCUAAUGGUAUCUAACCUAGCCACUGGGGCAAAGGUUUCAUUGAAAUCUACCCCAGGUUGUUAUGAGUAGCCUUUGGCAACCAAUCUUGCUUUGUUCUUCUGUAUUGAUCCAUCCAAAUUCAGUUUGGUCUUGUAGAUCCAUUUCACACCUAUCACAGGUUUAUCACUCAGUCUAUUUACCAAUUUCCAGGUAAAGUUUUUCUCAAUCAUGGCAAUUUCUUCACUCAUUGCUUUCUGCCAAGAUUGAUCAUUCUCAACUUCUUCAAAACUCUCUGGUUCAACAACUACUGCAUAGAUCUCAUCUAAACUCCUCAUUCUCAAUGGAGUUGUUUCUGGGGAAGAAUCCUGCAAUUCUCGUCCUUCUGCAUUUGAAGUAGAGGACUGAGAUCCUUGUGUUGGGGUUGAAAAUUCAUUUUGUCUUCCAUUUUGCAUAACAGGUUCAUUCUCAAUUUGCACAUCAGCUUGUGCUUCUUCCAUUGUUAGUGGAAAUGAGAUGGUGUCAAUGUUGUUGGUUUCCCAAUUCCAUGCUUCAUUUUCCUUGAACACCAUAUCUCUUGAGAUAAUCACUUUAUGUGACCCCAUAUUGUAGAGCCUUUAGCCCUUUUCACAGCUUCCAUAACCUACAAGAACACACUUGAUACUAUUGAUUUCAAGCUUGUGUCUUAAUUGAGAUGGUAUUUGUGCAUAGCAGAUUGAUCUGAACACCUUCAAGUGCUUCACACUUGGUUUUCUGCCACUAAAUGCCUCAAAAGGUGUUUUCUUCUCAAGUGCUUUAGUUGGACACCUGUUUAGGAGAUACACAGAUGUAUUGACAGCUUCACCCCAAAAGGAAAGUGGCAUUUUCUUAUCAUGUAGCAUUGACUUGGUCAUUUCAACCACAAUCAUGUUCUUCCUCUUUGUUACACCAUUCUGUUGUGGUGUGUAGGCCACUGUUAGUUGCUUCUGUAAUCCUGCUCCUUCACAAAAUUCUUGGAACUCAAAUGAAGUGAACUCACCACCUCUGUCACUUCUUAGCCUUUUGAUCUUGAGACCACUCUGAAGUUCAACCAUCACCUUGAAUUUCUUAAAGAUUGAAAAGACUUCACUCUUGUUUCUCAUAAAGUAUACCCAAACCAUCCUGGUGCAGUCAUCAAUGAAUAACAGAAAGUAUUUAUUCCCACUAAGUGUAGGUGUCUUCAUUGGACCACACACAUCUGUGUGAAUGAGUUAUAGAGGCUGGCCUGCUCUCCAUGCAUUUCCAGUUUCAAAAGAGUCCCUAUGAUGCUUCCCCAAUAUGCAACCUUCACAUGGUUCUUUAGUAUCUUAUAACUCAAGAAGACCAGUCACCAUUUGUAAUUUCUCCAAUCUCUUUAAACUAUGAAAGUUUAGAUGUCCAAACCUUUUGUGCCAUAACCAAGAGUUUUCUGCAACACUUGCUUUUAGAGCAAUUAAGUCAUUGUAAUCUAGCAUAAGUGGAAAAUUGUUGUUCCCUGUCAUGCCAACUUAUGUUACCAAGUUUUGGAGGCUUUUGUCAUCAAAGAUCUCCACCAUAUUGUCUCCAAAAAGUAAGAAAUAACCAUGACCAAUCAUAUGUCCCACACUAAGGAGAUUCUCAUCUAGGCCAGGUACAAGUAUCAUAUCCUUGAUGAAUCUUCUUCCACCUUUUGUCUCUAGAACAAGAGUUCCUUUUCCAGUAGCUUCCACAAGUUGUCCAUUCCCCAUUUUUACUCUACAAUUGAAGCCUCUGUCAAUGUUGAUUAACAAGGAUUCAUAUGCAGUCAUAUGAUUACUGCAUCCACUGUCAAUAUACCAGAUUCCUUUCUUAUUUUCGGUUCUUGCAACACUACAAGUAUAAAAGACAUUUACUUCUUCUUCUUCUGCUCUAUGUGCAUAAUUGACAGCUUGGUUCCUUCUUGGAUUACAAUCUUUUGCUAGAUGGCCAAAUCUGUCACACUUGGUGCAUUUGGGUUUUCCCUUGAAUGAUACCAAGAGCUUUUGCAUCUCUGGUUUCAUUAACCUUCAUUGAUAUCUUCUUCACAAACUGUUAAUCUUCAUCGCUAGAAUCAUUAUCAGUUUCUGCGAUUUCAAAACCCCUGUCCACCAAAUUCCAUAGAUCAUGUGAUUUGAAUAUGGUCUUCAUCUUGAUGGACCAAAAAUCAUAGUUGGACCCAUUAAAGAUAGGAGCCCUCAGAUCUCCUCCACUGCUCGAGGUAGCCAUGUGAGACUUUGUAAGAACAGAUGAGGUUUUUCAAAAUCUGGGUUUGUUUUUCCCCUUUUCUUAGCACACAAAACGCCCAGUCUUGAAAUUGAUCAGAACCUAAGCUCUGAGGCCAUGAUAAAUUCUUGAGUGUUAAUUUGUAGUUGGUAUGAUGAUUUUCGAGGAUUGACAAGGGACAAGAAUUUGGAAUUUUUGAGGAAACUGUAGUGCUCUCUUUGUCUAGAGCAAGCACAGAUAUUUUCAUUGAAAUAUCAACACAUUGGACUUUUCUCUUACAAGCUACUCUAGAGCAAUAUCAGCCCUUGAUUAACAAACAGUAAUCUAAAGCAUACACUUGUCCUAUGAGACUAAGCAUGCACUUAACUGUUGGUUCCUUCCUUCUCAACCAUUCGAUCAAAACCAAAUUCUAUUUAAUUCCAACAAAAGCCGCAGCCACUCCAUGACAACAAGAUGCGUUCGAUCGGGUUAAGGAUUGUUAUGUGAAUGGAUUUAUUCCACUCUUAUAUAAACUCUAAAUUAUUAUUGUUUGAAUGUUUGAGGUUAAAACAAUAACUCACCAAGGCGCGCAUAAAGUAGCCUCGCUCUGGAAGACAAGUACAUGGAACAAAACCGGCCCAGAACAAGAAAAGAGCUCAAUAUAUAGGCCAAAAACAAUCAACCACUAUUCUGGAGAAGGGCCUUAUGUAUAGGAUAAAAGACGAUCCUCAAACUAAACUAUAGCCGACUGUAUAGUAAGUGCAAACUUGGCCAAGAUGAGCAACUCCAUUACGGUGAUCAGGGAUGUGGUUGAUGCCCGGGGUGGGAAAAAACCGCUAAACCAAAGCAAUCCAUUAUUCAUUUAGUUUUGAAGAUUUCCUUUUGUUAAAAAAUAGAAAAUAUUAUAUUAACAUUUCAAGGGGAAUUGUAAAUUACUAAUUAAACAAUAGUUAAAAGAAAAAUAGUGGUGGGUUAUCUGCUCUGGUGGUUGGAGCAUAACUUUAACCACUGCGUUUCGAGUUCAAAUCCAUCUAUUUCUCUCAUUGUAGAUAAUAUUAGAGAAGAUUGAGAAAGUUUUGUAGAGAAUUUGUCAAAUUCAAAGGAAUAUGAAUCUUUGUUCUUAGAAUUAAAUAUAACAACAUGUGAGAGAGAACUUAAUUAAUAACAAAUGGCGACAACAAAAAAGAAAAUGUCACGUGAAUAUAUAACACCAAGCAAAAUACCAAAUUGUGAAGUAUGAUUCUGUUCAUUUUGGUCCAAGCUUGGUUGCACUUUUGUCAAAGUAAAGAUCAAACUAAACUGCCCAAACUGGUUUGACGUGGUUGGUUUUUGAAUGAUUUGUUGAAUUUUGCCACCACUGCACAUUAAUUAUUCCCUAAACUCUAAAAUACUUAAGUUGAUAAAUAUUUAAUUAAAAAUAAACUAGAUUAGGUUUGUCGUUCUGCCAGGAGGUUAGGAACUAUGAAGAUUCCCAGGGCUCAAUGAAAUGAUUCCGAACUCAAGCAUCUGUGUCGUUAUUAGAUAUUUUGUUUUGGUGCAAUACUGAGUGUAUACAUUUGAUGACUGGGUAUAAUCUCUCUAGACCGUCACAAAAACAACGGUAGAUGCCACUACUCAACUUGUGAGAACCAAUAAAUUCAGGGUGUGCGGGGGAGUUCUAUCAGUUCUCACGUUUUCUCCCCAUUUCAAAAGAGAAUCAGUACUCUCUCUCUCUCUCUCUCUCUCUCUCUCUGAGCAAUGGCAUUCUCCUCAGUACUCUCUGCAGUCCCAAGAAGGUUAGCAGAACAUGCUUAAUCAAUCAAGGUUUUUUAGUUUUCAGUUUGUGCCUCUGUUCGUGUACCUUUUUCUAGUUAAUCAGUUUCUAACUUUCUAUGAUUAAUCAAGUUUUACUUUUUUCGCUAAUUAAACUUACGAACUGCAACCUCUCUUGAGUCUUGACUCAUCCUAGCUAUCUACCAAAUUAUCAAACAAAACUUUUCUCAUGAUAGAAUGAAGCUAGUUUCCUCAACAUGCUGAUUGCUGACCCAGCUUUGCAAAUGUGUACUCAAAAUAAAAUGGCUUCACAAAAAUACAAGUUCAUGGUGCCUAUCCUCUAAUGGAAAAUGAUUUCCAUCCUCUUAUUUUCUCCUAUUGCACAUCUUUAUUUGUUUAUCUCUCUUGAUUCUUCUUUGAUUUAUUCAAUCUAAUGACUAAAAAUAGAGAAGAGUAAUCAUUUCAUUUACUUAAUUUGUCCAAGCUAGAGAUUUAUGCGUAGACGCUAAUUAAGCCGGCUAAGGCAAAUCUUUGAUUCCUCCACUAUUUGGUUGACGAGCCACUGAGAACAUGAUUCAAUUUGGUCAUUGGAAACAAUCACUACAAGAAAAGUGAGCAACAACAGUCCUAAUUUAUUAGUAACCAUUUAGGUAACUUUUGUUGUUGAGGUAACAACGAUGUUCAAAGGAAAUAAAGGUGUAAAAAAUAAGAAAAAAAAGUAGGUAAUAGUUACGUCUCAAAGGCGGCAAACACAUUAAUUUUGUUUCGUCACUAUUUUCUCAUUGGCAACAUCGUUGUUACCCAAACAACAUCUACAAAAAGAGUUACUAAUUAGGGUAAGUUUUUACUCACUUUUCUUAUAGUGAAAGUGCUCAUUCCUCCUAAUUAUUGCAUCAUCUGUUUAUGUACAUUAUGAGAACACCGAUGUGUAUAUUAAUAAAUUAAUAAUAUGAUGCUUUGAAAGAACCUCAUUAGAUACAUGUAAUGCUGGAAGGAAGAUUCGAACUUGUGUGCACAUAAAAGAGAACGUUAUUCUAACUAGCCAACUUGUCUAAACUCAGGUCUGCUAAUGUAGUUCAUUAUUGAGAUUCCGCUAAAACCAGCUUUACGGAUAAGCAAAUGUGUUUCAUAACCUUGCAAUUUAUACAAAUUAUAAAAAAAUUAUGUGAUGACGAAAUGUAGAUCACCGUCAAUCUAAAACUCUGUAAAUUGCAAAUCCUACUGUUUAGAUAAUAUGCAUGUUGAAAUUUUCAGAAGUAAUUAUUAUUUUGUAACUGAAUGCAGGUUGGAGGGAAAGGUGGCUCUGAUAACCGGAGGAGCCAGCGGCAUUGGAGAAUGCACAGCCAAAAUCUUUGUCCAGCAUGGGGCCAAAGUCGUCAUUGCAGAUGUCCAAGAUGAUCUGGGCCAUUCAGUUCGCGAGUCCAUCGGGCCAUCGGACUGCACGUUCGUCCACUGUGAUGUCACAGACGAAUCCCAAAUAAAAGAUGCCGUACACAAAGCCGUUGCCACGUAUGGAAAACUAGACAUCAUGUUCAACAACGCAGGCAUAGUUGACCCAAACAAAGCCCGAAUCAUCGACAAUGAAAAGGCAGAUUUCGAGCGCGUGCUUAGCAUAAAUGUCACCGGAGUUUUCCUCGGCAUAAAGCAUGCUGCCCAAGCCAUGAUUCCUGCGCGGACGGGCAGCAUAAUUUCAACUGCUAGUAUAAGUUCAUAUGUUGGUGGUGCAGCCUCACAUGCAUAUUGUUGUUCCAAGCAUGCAGUUAAUGGCUUGACAAAAAAUGCAGCCGUUGAGUUAGGUCAGUUCGGGAUCCGAGUGAACUGCUUGUCGCCGUAUGCGCUCGCAACGCCGUUGGCUCGGACUUUUGUGGGGGUUGACGAUGAGGAGCUUGAGAAUGUGAUGGGAUCUCUAGCCAACUUGAAGGGCGUGACACUUAAGGCAGUGGAUGUGGCAAAUGCAGCUCUAUAUUUGGCAAGUGAUGAGGCUAGGUAUAUUAGUGGGCAUAAUCUCUUGAUAGAUGGGGGUUUCAGCAUCCUUAAUCCCUCUUUCAAAAUGUUUCAGUACCCUCAAGAGCCUUGAACUUUUUUGUUUUUGGUUCUUCAAAAAAGGGAUUAGUUGAUGACUUCGUCAUGGCAGUUUAUCCUCCAAAGCUUUGAUCCGUUCAGUUGCUAUAGAUUUUUUUUCUUUCUUUUUACACGUUUGAGUUGAAUUACUUUUAAUUGUUAUAAGUUUAUCCUUAAAAAAAAAAAAAAAAAGGUGGGGGGUUUUAAGUACCCCUAUCGGAGUAGAAAUAUUCGGGUCUUCCAAUAAGCAAUCUUGUAAUUGUGCGUUUUAGAAGGUUGUACAUCAUCUUCGUUUGCUACGAGUUUGAGUGAAGAAGAGUGAUGAAAGAGACUUCCACGUUCAAGUUAUUUUUUGAUAUCUAUGUACAUUUCCUAAUAUUUGAUUGUUAUUGUGAUCCCUAUAUUUUGAAGUUGAUUUUUUUUUUUUAACAAACGAUAUUAUCUACACUAAGGGGAAAGGGGUGAGCUUAACCUCACAAUAGGCUGACAUGUAAUAAUGUGGCUGAAAUUCACCUUUGGUGAGAAUCGAACCUAAAACAUCUCACUUACAAAUGAAGAGGAAUACUACUAGACUGUAGUAUUAAGUGGUUAAUCUUUAUAUUUUAUCCCAUCAACAAUUUUUGUCCCUUGUAACUACUUUGACAUUACUUUGUCGUGUUAGCAUAGUGUGUCAUUUGUAUACAUUAACCCAAAUUGAACUGAAAGAAUCAAAAUUGUUAAUACAUUAAAACACAGGAAUCAAAUUGACCAAAUUUAAAAUAUAGGAAUAAGAAAUCAAAUCAACCGUAUUAUCGUCACCAUCACAAUCACUAUUACUUUGUUGUGACCAUCACCAGUACCAUCAUCCCUACCAUCACCACUAUCUUGCCACCGUCAUUAGAAACAUAAUCACCACCACCGCCACCACCAUCUUCCCACUACCUACCUCUAAUACCGCCACCAAUAUUACACAUGAUGACCCACCACUAUUUAAAAAAAUUAAAACUUUGAAACUAGUGGAAAUGCCCAUUUUAGCAGCCGAUUAAAAAAAAUUGACAUCUAUGCAAAUCUAUUAAAAAUCAUAUUAAGUCUCACAAACUCUCUCAAAUUCCAUAUUAAGAUCCAAAUAAAAGUUACUCAAUGCCCGUGUAACCAUGCUUCUUGUGCAGUGUUUCUGGAGUGACAUGAAUCCAUCCUUUAACUUCACUAGGCUUGAUUGGCAUGGUUUUGGAUUAUGCCCCCAACAAUUGAGGUGAAGAUGUUGAAUUGAAUGAGCCAAAAGUGACGAUGGUAUAGUUUGAUUCCACCACAUCAUCAAGACCUAAGUCCAUGACUUCUUCUUGGGCCAACUUCAUGAUGAGAUCUUUCAACAUGAAGCACAUUUCAACCGAAUGACUGAUGACGCGGUGGUACUUACAUUAUCUUGGGUUGUCGGUGAUUCAUCUCUUUCGGCCGUUUGCACUCGGGUAAAUCGAUCAUUUUUUUGUCGAGCAAGUCCUCUAACAUGGAAACCACAUCGAAGUCGGGGAAUUGAUAAGUAUUCUCCUCAAGCUCCUUUAAAGCGCGUUUACGCCUCUCUUGGUCACAAAAAGCUUUGGUCCACUUCAUCUUGUCUCGUGUAGAGAUUUUAACGGGAGUUGUGUUGACCAACAUCGCUUCCUUGACAGGCUCCCUCACAGAUUUGUCCAUUUUUUGCCCAAAGAAUUUGUCUUUUCUGUAGUUAGCAAUCGGGUCUUUCUUCCCAUGAUGUGUGAUGCUUAACUCCAUGUCAUGGGUGCGAGUAGCUAACUCUUCGAAAGUCUAGGGCUUGAUACCUUAAAUAAUGUAAUGCAAGCCCUAAUGCAUGCCUUGUAAGCAUAUCUCAAUCAAGGAGAUUUUCGAGAGUCUGUCUUUGCAGUCGAGACUUAGAGUGCGCCAUCUAUUGAUGUAGUCAACGACUGGCUCGUCCUUCUAUUGCUUUGUACCUAUGAGCUCCAUCAUGCUGACGGUGCGACGUGUGUUGUAAAAGCAGUUUAAGAACUCUCGCUCCAAUUGUUCUUAAUUGUUAAUAGACUCGAGCUUUAGGUUAGUGUACCAAUUAAAAGCAUUCUCCUUUAGAGAACGGACAAACUGCUUUGCGAAGUAGUCUCCUUCAGUUCCUGCAUUGUUGCAAGUCUUGACAAAAUAGGCGACGUGCUACUUUGGGUUCCAUUUUCUAUCGAAUUGGAUGAACUUAGGUGGCUGGUACCCCAUUGACAUCCGUAAGUCAUCAAUCCGCCUGGUAUAUGGCUUCGAAUACAACAGUGUAUCCUGCGAAGUACCUCUUACAUGUGCUUUGAUGGUGUUCGCAAUCAUGCCUUGGAGCUGUUGGUAGGAAAAAUAGCCCAUCGAUAUAGCUUCAGUCUCUAGCUUUUGCUUGUUUCUGGCCUUGUUUGCAUGACGCUUAUCUUCCUUGCCAGACUCCUGGUCAUUUUAAUUUUUCCUUGGGUCUGGACCGACUAUUUCAUCAUGUUGCGCCUCCAACUUAUCCAUAAGCGUAACAAUCUGCAAGUUUUUUUCUUCGAUAGUUCUGGUCAACCUUACGAUCGUCUCAUUCAUCUAAGCCAGUUGUUCUUCAAUGGAGGUGGGGCUAGUGGCUAUGACUUGCGCAACCAAAGGAUGUGACUCUCAUCCACACAUCAAAUGUGAUGGCGAAGUCUCCGUGCGACGGUUACUGGUUGGUGAUCAGCGGUAGGCUCUCGUGCUUGAGUCUGCGUCUGAAGUUAGUAACAAUAAGUGCUCACAUGAACCUUCUGACACUAGCAAACCUUACUUGCCGCUCUGAGGUGUCUUCGUGUGUGCCACAAUAGCAUUCUUCGGUGGGCCCAACGAGGCAUAGCUAAUGUCGGGUUCGCACAUCUAACGCUCCCCUUGCUCCCUUAACGACACCAACUUUGAAGUGGCAUGUUGAAGAGUGGUAACCCGCCCUUGCCUUGCUUCGAGUUAUGAUGCCAAUAGAUUUUUCACUUGCGAUAGAAGUGUUGGCGCUUCUUCCCUUGGUUGCGAGAACGACUUUUCUUUUAUUUGAUGCCAUUGAGUUUGGAGUGUGCUUGGAUUUCUUGAAUUGAGAAAGAGAUGAGAGCUGGAGAUUAUCCCUUUGGGCGUGCCAAAUUUGUAAACAUGAAUAUCUUGUAGCAAAUGAAACAAGAACUCGUGUACAAAAUAAAUUUGAAUUAAUGUCAAUUUAGGGUUACAAUCUCUUUACAGCUUGAUUGUUUGAUUCGAUAUCCGAAAUGUAAGGUAUGUAGUGUUGUUGAUCAAAUGGUCACGAUGACUUGAUCUUGUAUAAAUAGAUGCCGCAAGGUUUUGGCUCUCGGCAAUGGAGUAACCUACACGUGUAUGGGUGCUUAGUGGUUCUUCACGGGUUUUAUGAAGAAUGCAGACAGCUUUCCGAGUCUUCUUGAAUGUUUGAGUGUUUGGGGGGUUUGAGUGGUUGAGAGCUUUAGAGUUUCAAAGCUUCAGCGUUUGGGCGUGAAUGAUUUUCUGAACCUUUUCCUUUGUCUUGGAGCCUCCUAUUUAUAAACUAUCUAAGUCUUGACUACAGAUGGAUUUGACCUUGAUUUGUGGCUUGGUUAAUUGACGAAAGAACUAGGACUCGAUUUAACUCCAUCAAUUAACAUUUGAUUUAAUUAAAUUAAAAUCAAAUCAUUCAUUUCCGCCAAGUGUUGACAUGUGUCAUUCUUGAUGACUCGUCCGAUUUUGUUGAGUCACACACCACAUGUGUACAAUUUUGUGCAAAACGUGGCGUAUACGACGUAUGCCCUGGCACGUCGAAGCUUUAAUGCAUUGGUGAACACUUAUUUCAUCGAAAUUUUGAUGUCUACAUAUAUAUAUAUAUAUAUUAAUUUCAGUAAAAAAGUAUUCUACAAUGAGAGAGAAAGUCAAUCCUUCCAUAUUCAUUGGUGAAGUCACCUACAAGACUCACGUGGGUUGUAGCCCAAGGAGGUUUUCUGUAAAGGUAGUGUUAUCCAUACACUCAUUUUUACUUCUCACACAUCCCUCUCAAUUUUCGGCUAUCUGAUCAAAUGAAUUGAAGAUGAUCAAUAAAAAAAUUUAAUAAGGGUCUGUAGGAGGUAAAAUGAGUGUGUGAAUAACACUAUUUAAUACAUGUCAUUAUUUAAUGUAUAUAAAGCAGAGGAUAGGUAAUAAAUAAUACGUUUUAUGCUAAAAUUAUAAAUUAGUUCCAUCUCUCGUCCCCCUUUAUCCUAUUCGUAAAAGAAAAAGAUCAUUUAUCCUACGUGAUUUAGCCUUUGUGCUUCUUAUUCAAGAAAAUAAAAAUAAUAUUUUUUUUAAAUCCACAAUUAGACCCCUAUCUCUGCAUUUUCUUACUUUCCUUUGCGAUUUUCUAAUGAAUGUCACAUUUGGUAUACUCUUAAUCUCUUUAUUUACUUAUUCUUGAUUUAAUUUGUAGGCAAACUAUUUAUAUGGUCUUUGAAUUUAUCAGUUAGGGUUAUGAUUUUGAGAAUAGUUUAUAUUAUGUGUUGUUCUUUUAUAUUGAUUAUUAUAUAAUUUUAUAUUAGCAAAUAUAAUUUUAUGAUAUUAAUUUCAGCUAGCCCACCCAAGCAAAAAAAAUCAUGGCUCCGCCUUUGCAUAUUCAUGCUUAGGGAUUUGGAUCCCACCCGGAUCUAAAUGUGAGGAUCCUAGGGAUUCUCACAUCUUAACUAUUCAUCGUGCGGAUAGAAAUCAUUUGAUUUUUUAUUAUUUAAAAUUAAACACAAAUAGUACCUAACGAAAAUUGACCGUAUGAUGUACAAUGAACAACUAGAAUGUGGGGAUCCUAGGGAUUCCCACAAAGUGAAUCCAGAGAGGAUCCUCCUCCCAUGCUUAGUACUUUCUCUAGUUAAUGCAUUAAUAUACAUAAUUACCAUAUUACCCAUUUUAUUAAUUGAAUAAUCAAAUUUGCUUUAUAAAGAGGGACAUGCUUGUCUUUUCACCAUCUGGUUGAUAAGAUUUCCUUGAUAGCAUUCUCUCACAAAUUAUCUAACUAGAGAAAGGUCAUGUUGAAAAGUUUAAAUUGGUACGGAAAGGUCUUGUUGAAGAGUUUAAAGUUGUCCUAAUUAGUUUGGAAUUGAAACUUUAAGUAAAUGUUGAUACUUAAUUAGCACUCAUAGUUAGAUUAGAAUUGUGUGUAAGUUUCCCACAUAUAAAUACUUAGUAUUCAUAUUUUUGUACUUCUCCGAUGCGAGACUCUAUGACAAUCAAAUAUUUACUCUUCUUGGCUAGCAAACUUUACUUCUGAUAGAAACGAAGCAAAUGUAUCUAGAGAAAAAUUGGCUUCACAUAAAUAUAGGAGUUUCGUUCGUGCCUAUUUCUUAAUGAAAAAGAAUUUCUACGCUCUUGUUUUCUGCUUUUGCAGUCCAUUUGUUUAUAUCCCUUAAUCUCCUUUGAUUGAAGUAAUGGAUAAAAGAAAAAGGGCAAAAAAAAAAAGGGAAAAGAUGAGCGCACAAGGAGGAAAAAAGCAGAAAUCAUUUCCUUCCUUAUUUGUUCAAGCUAGAGAUUUAUAUAUAGAAGCCGAGGCUUCUUAUUAAUUAGGCCAUGGCUACAUUUGAAAAAUCACUUGAGAACAUGAUUCAAUUUGGUCAUAGGAAACGACGGCGUUCAUUCAUCCUAAUAAUUGAAUAAUCUGCUACAUUAUGUGACAAUUGUGUGUAAAAUAAUAAUGAUGCGAAGAAGGAACUCCAUGAACUACAUAACACAAAGAUGUUUGAACUUGAACGCAUAAGAGGAGCAAAUUGUUCCAAUGAAGCCAAGAUUUACUAAUGCAUGCAGUUGAUGAAUGUGAUCUUGGGAACAAUAUCGGCAAUAUUGGUGGUGAAUCAGGUUAGGCUUAUAAAGCUUAUCAUAGUAAAUGCUAUUCUUUCUACACAUCUUGGACUUGAGUUACUGGGCUUGAAUCUGCUUCCUUAAAUUGGGUUUUUGAAAAGUUUCACUAUCUCCAGCUUAAAGUAUUGGUUGAACGAUUGGGUAUUCCAAAAGAUUGACAUUGGCUCCAAUGACUAGGGCUGGGUUCGGUUUUUUGCCAAAACCGAAACCAAACCGAAAUUUCGGUUCGGUUCGGUUCGGCCCAAAUUUUUUUCGGUUUUUUUUCGGUUCGGUUUCGGUUUUUUUCGGUUUUUUUUUUUUUUUUUUUCCUCCAAAAAAUGCAAAACAACCACAACAUUACUUGAGUUAUAUGCCAAGCAUCCAUUUCUUUAUUUGGUUCACAGUGCCUAGUAUUUGGGUCAUUGUUCAAAGUAGCCUUUCCUUUAUGGAAAACAAAUACAAAGCCAUUUCCAUGCAAACAAAUCCCAUGAAAUGGAUUUUAAUUAUAAAACAGAUUAGACUUUAGAACCAACUAAAUUGUAAAUUGUGGUUUAUGAAAACAAUGAAAUUAAAGAAGCUCAACUCCCUACAUGAUACAAUAUUACAAUUACAAUCACACACCUUUUCUUGUUGGAUUUGUGACCAAGUGGACAACAAGCCAAAAUACCUUUCGGCUAAUAAAAUAGAAAAAAGGAAAAGGGAGACAUCAUUAUGAUGUCUAGCCCUUGAUUUGUGGCUUUUACAAAAGCAAAGAAAGGUGGCCUUUUGUUUAUAUUAAGGCAUUUGGUUAUGCAUUUGGAAAAGAGAGAGUGGGAACGGCAGAUUAGAGAGAAGAAAGAGAAGGGUUGCUGUUAUCUAUCCUUCCCAUUUUGUUUGUAAUCCCCUUUUGUUAGUAAUCACUCAAUCAAAGAUAUUUGUGCUACAUUUUGUGGCUUUUGGGAGAGAAGGAAUUUGGUAUAUGUUUCAUCUUCUCCAUUUGUUCUUUGUGAGAGUGAGAGUUAUUGGGUGUAUGUGAGAUUUGGGUUUGAGAGUUAAAACUCUAUUUGUAAUCUCCUUUUGAUAUUAGUGGAAUUUCCUCGCCGUCUCGGAACUGGACGUAGGCUUACGCCGAACCAGUAUAAAUCCUUGUGUCUUUUGGAUUAUUUGUCUUGUCAUAUUUUGCCGUUGUAGUUUAUUGGUUUCAUAUUUGACGCUUCCGCACAACA
rnacentral:lncRNA from 1 species